UCCCCCGUACAGCUGUGCCAGUCCGCUCCCUCAAGGCGGAAAGACCUUGAACUGCCGAGGAGAGCGCCAGGAAUGGCAGGGAAGGAGAUGGGGACAAAGCCUGGCUUAGAACCUCCUGUCGGAAAGGAUUGCCCCCAAAGGAGGUGGCCUUUGGUCGGAGGGGGGCAGGCGGCAGGAUCUGUCACGAUUGCUUUAGCUAGGAUUUCCUCCAUAGGCAGGGGGCUGGACUAGAUGACCCUCGGGUCCUUUCCAACCCUACAGUUCUGUGAGUCUCUGACACGGCACCUGUGUUGUGUAGGCUGGAGACCAGCUUGAAGAGAAGGACAGGCUGGAGGCCGGCAGCUGGAGGCUGGACUUCGAGUCACAGUCAGUCCACGAAGAGAUUUAUUGGGGCUGCUUCUACUUCUUCCCGUGGCUCAGAAUGUGUAAGAAGGACAAAAGGGAGCCCCCCUCAUAGCGUGGCUCCCGCCCCCAGCAGCAGAUCGCAAAGGACCCCCCCCCGGUUCGAGGAGCCAGAAUCUGUUGCUACGACCUACUGUUAGUCCCUGUGCCGACCGUCCAGAUAUAUUGGUGCAAACGUCUCCUGGAACCUCACCAUUAAAGUUUCCCCAGAUCUCCCUUUGGCUCCCACGCUUGUAUCAUCGCCCCGCUUGCUCCCGGGGACGCCCCCCCCUCGCGCGCGUGUGUGUGCAGGUUUUAUCCCUUCCGUCUCUGGACACCAGGGGGCGCCCUUGUCCUGAGCUCAGCCCCCGCCUGGACCAGCCGACAAGGGAGGGGGGCGCUUCGGGGGCGGCUGGCCAGCGAUGUCCUUUUCCGAAGGGGGUCCCCAAACGAAGACUUUCCCAGGAGUGGAUUUUCUC
rnacentral:lncRNA from 1 species